CUAGCGACUUCAGAGUUUGAUCCUGGCUCAGGAUGAACGCUGGCGGCGUGCUUAACACAUGCAAGUCGAACGAAGCGCUUAAGACAGAUUCUUCGGAUGAAGUUUUUUGUGACUUAGUGGCGGACGGGUGAGUAACGCGUGGGCAAUCUGCCCUGUGCAGGGGGACAACAGUUGGAAACGACUGCUAAUACCGCAUAAGCACACGGUACCGCAUGGUACAGUGUGAAAAGAUUUAUCGGCACAGGAUGAGCCCGCGUCUGACUAGCUAGUUGGUAAGGUAACGGCUUACCAAGGCAACGAUCAGUAGCCGACUUGAGAGAGUGAUCGGCCACAUUGGGACUGAGACACGGCCCAA
rnacentral:rRNA from 1 species